AAUGAACGCUGGCGGCGCGCCUAAUACAUGCAAGUCGAGCGAGAAGACGUAGCAAUACGUUUGUAAAGCGGCGAACGGGUGAGGAAUACAUGGGUAACCUACCCUAGAGUGGGGAAUAACUAGCCGAAAGGUUAGCUAAUACCGCGUACGCUCCCUGGACUUCGGUUCAGGGAGGAAAGCGCUACCGUGGGUAGCGCGCUCUUGGAUGGGCUCAUGUCCUAUCAGCUUGUUGGUGAGGUAACGGCUCACCAAGGCUUCGACGGGUAGCUGGUCUGAGAGGACGAUCAGCCACACUGGCACUGCGACACGGGCCAGACUCCUACGGGAGGCAGCAGUAAGGAAUAUUGCGCAAUGGGCGAAAGCCUGACGCAGCGACGCCGCGUGGGGGA
rnacentral:rRNA from 1 species